rnacentral:pre_miRNA from 14 species
CUCCAGGUUAAUGUAACCCUGAAAGACCCCCGGAGCAGGGGGACCCUCACUCAAGUCUUGGGAUGACGCGGCCCCCCAAGAACUCACGAGAGACC